UUGUUUUGCGCCCUUAAAAAGUGACCCAACAGUGGGAGGAUGAUGUCAGCGAUGAUUUCUCUCUUCAGCUGAGGAGAGAGCUGAAAAGCAAUACCGAAAGAAUUAAACAUUCUGCUUGCUACGAUUCGGUUGAUAAAAGUGUCAUGAGUUAGGUACUUGACUUUGUUGGUGUUUCCUUUUGUGGAAAAGAAACGAAAGCUAUAUGCCUUUUCUUUUAGUAGAUGUAAGACAGUGAGGCAGAACAUAAGGACUUAAGUUGUUAUUUCUGAAGAACAUCUAGAUACAAGUAUUGUUUGUACUUUAAUUGUAUUUUAUUUCAUAAGUUUUAAACUGGGUCACAAUCCCUUGGGCUGCAUUGCCAUUAAUAACUGGUGAAUGUGGAGUUGCAUUUCACUUUCUUGUUAUCACUGUUCAGUCUGCAGAAACUAGCUUGUGGGUAUCUGAAUUCAACAACCCAAGGAAUUUGAAUGCCAA